AGUCCCCUCGCCCCUCCCGCCCCUGCACGGGUCCCCCUCUAGCCGUCGCUGCAACCACCACCUCGGUUCCACUCAACCGAUUUUUGCUGCAUGUCAACACUUAUUACCGCUGUUACCUAAACAACAAACUAGACACACUUCACUGCAAACAGUGGGAAGAAUGGUGUUACCUUUGAUGAAACAUCCAUGGAACAUUUGCAUUUCAUGAGCAGCUUUAUGGUGAGAAAUUGAAACCUCCUGCCAACAGCCAUGUGAGUGAGCUUGGAAGCAGAUUCUCCAGCUCUUCAAAUAAUGGCAGCCCCAGAAAACAACUUAAAUGCAACCUCCUGAGAGUCUCUGAGCUAGAACUACCUAGCUAAACUGCUGUGAGAUUCUUCAACCUCAAAACUGGGAUGAGAUAACAAAUAUUUAUUGUUUUAAGGAAUCUUCAAAUGAUAAUUUUGAAAAGAGAAGCAGUCCUUUUCAUGAUGAAGAGAUGAGUUGUCAAAAGCCC
rnacentral:lncRNA from 1 species